CACUUGAUGCCCCUGAAGAGCCGUCAAAGACUAUGACGUUGAUAGGUUGGGUGUGUAAGCGCUGUGAGGCGUUGAGCUAACCAAUACUAAUGACUCGUGCGGCUUGACCAU
rnacentral:rRNA from 1 species